UCCUCAGAAAAGCUCUCUCCCAGACUGCUUUUCCCCUGCUCCUUCCUCCACGGAAGAAUCCCUUUCCUCAGAACCUUUUUCUCAGCUGACAGCCGACAGAUAAAGUACAGCUCCGGCCAAGUCCACGGGCGGCUGUCAAGGGGCUACAGACCCACUGACUGGGCCGUUUUCAACUUUGAAUUUUAAAGAACAGAAAAAUGAUUUCCAGUUUCUUCUUCAGAGAUCACCGGUUGGUCUCUUGGGAGGACAGACAGCAAUUACCAAUGCCGGUUAAAUCAUAGAAAAGAAAAAGGGCUUUGUGGCCCGCACGCAUCUGCACGUUCCUGCCAAGGAAAAACACCUGCCUUUCAUUUCAAAGAGGCCUGCUGGCGCUGGUCCUGGUACUGCUGAUUCACCAGCCUCUGCUCGCAGAGGGGAAGCCAACGCCAAGAGAACCUUCACCCUGGGCCAGCGCACCUUCACCCUGGGCCAGCGCUCACCCGGUAGAGCUGAAGUAUCGAUACAAUCUGGCUCUUCCAGAGAGCCCUUGCAUGCGCCCUGCCCAGUCUUGACUGCAACCCAUGAUCUCCAGCACAAACACAUGCGCAGCACACACAUGCAGCCUCUCGAUUCCACCUGGCGUGGUCAAAGUAGAGUGAUGGGCUACAGCUGAUUUUUCUUCUGAGGAGCCUCUGGGACCACCCAUCUUUAGUUAACAGUGCACAUGUUAACAGUUGUCCAUAAAACUAGCGAUGCCCCAUCCUAAACUCAGAUAAUCCGAACAUAAGUAUCUGCUGUGCUCGGGAUCCUCUCCCCUGCCUGCUAAGGGGACUGCGGACAGCCAAUGCAAAGUCUCCUGUUCCCAAAUGAAUUCCCUCCUUUUCCUCCUAUGCUUAGGGGACUUUCCUCCUAUGCUUAGUGGUGUAGUGGUAACAAGUUGGGCUGUGAUCCAAAAGGUCAGCAGUUCAAAUCCAC